rnacentral:rRNA from 1 species
UACGGAAGGCAGCAGUGGGGAAUAUUGCACAAUGGGCGCAAGCCUGAUGCAGCCAUGCCGCGUGUAUGAAAAAGGCCUUCGGGUUGUAAAGUACUUUCAGUCGUGAGGAAGGUGUUAAGGUUAAUAACCUUAGCAAUUGACGUUAGCGACAGAAGAAGCACCGGCUAACUCCGUGCCAGCAGCCGCGGUAAUACGGAGGGUGCGAGCGUUAAUCGGAAUUACUGGGCUAAAGGGCACGCAGGCGGUUAAUUAAGUUGGAUGUGAAAUCCCCGGGCUUAACCUGGGAAUGGCAUUCAAGACUGGUUAGCUAGAGUCUUGUAGAGGGGGUAGAAUUCCAUGUGUAGCGGUGAAAUGCGUAGAGAUGUGGAGGAAUACCGGUGGCGAAGGCGGCCCCUGGACAAAGGCUGACGCUCGAUGUGCGAAAGCGUGGGGAGCAAACGAGGGAUUAGAUACCC